CACUGAAAAUAAUCGAAACGCUCGAUUAAAGACUUCUUGCACUUGAAUGUCAAAUCAGUAACAGUGAUAUCGAAGUGUAAAACACUUUCGAUUCGAUGGUUUUAGAUUUGUUAAUAAAGAGAAUGUGUUGUCCUGCUGGCAAAGUCGGUCGAAGUAAAUUCCAUACAAUCGAAAGUGUUUUACACUUUGAUCAAGCAUGUUCCACUUUGAAAAAAAAAAAUGAACUUGUAAUUUGUGACAAGAAGUCGAAGGGCAAUCUGCACCAUCUGCACGUUCUCUGUGAAAAAAAUUAAAAUCUUUCCAGAAG